GAAUUCACUAGUGAUUCAGGCCUAACACAUGCAAGUCGAGCGGUAGAGAGAAGCUUGCUUCUCUUGAGAGCGGCGGACGGGUGAGUAAUGCCUAGGAAUCUGCCUGGUAGUGGGGGAUAACGUUCGGAAACGGACGCUAAUACCGCAUACGUCCUACGGGAGAAAGCAGGGGACCUUCGGGCCUUGCGCUAUCAGAUGAGCCUAGGUCGGAUUAGCUAGUUGGUGAGGUAAUGGCUCACCAAGGCGACGAUCCGUAACUGGUCUGAGAGGAUGAUCAGUCACACUGGAACUGAGACACGGUCCAGACUCCUACGGGAGGCAGCAGUGGGGAAUAUUGGACAAUGGGCGAAAGCCUGAUCCAGCAAGGCCGCGUGUGUGAAGAAGGUCUUCGGAU
rnacentral:rRNA from 1 species